rnacentral:rRNA from 1 species
CAGCCGCGGUAAUUCCAGCUCCAAUAGCGUAUAUUAAAGUUGUUGCAGUUAAAAAGCUCGUAGUUGGAUCUCAGGAGGACUUCAGUUGGUCGGCCUAACUGGUCAGAACCGUCUGUCUCUUCCUUGUUUCUGAAUCCCGCCCGGAGUUCAUUCUUCGGGUGUGGACUUCAGAUCGUUUACCUUGAAAAAAUUAGAGUGUUCAAAGCGGGCGUUUGCUUGAAUAUAUUAGCAUGGAAUAAUGGAAUAGGACCCUGGUCCUAUUUUGUUGGGUUUUGAGGACUAGAGUAAUGAUUAAUAGGGAUAGUUGGGGGCAUUUCAUUAUUUUAAUUGGUCAGAGGUGAAAUUCUUGGGAUUUAUGAAAGAUGAACUUCUGCGAAAGCAUUUGCCAAGGAUGUUUUCGUUAAUCAAGAACGAAAGUUAGGGGAUCGAAGACGAUCAGAUACCGUCGUAGUCUUAACCAUAAACUAUGCCGACUAGGGAUUGGGAGCGGUUUGUUCAUUGACCCUCUCAGCACCUUACGAGAAAUCAAAGUUUUUGGGUUCCGGGGGGAGUAUGGUCGCAAGGCUGAAACUUAAAGGAAUUGACGGAAGGGCACCACCAGGAGUGGAGCCUGCGGCUUAAUUUGACUCAACACGGGGAAACUCACCAGGUCCAGACUGGGUAAGGAUGUACAGAUUGACAGCUCUUUACAGAUUCUCAGGGUGGUGGUGCAUGGCCGUUCUUAGUUGGUGGAGUGAUUUGUCUGGUUAAUUCCGUUAACGAACGAGACCUUAACCUGCUAAAUAGCGUCGAGUUUCUCCGGAAACGAAGAUGUCUUCUUAGAGGGACGUCGCGUGUCUAACGCGAGGAGGUGUGAGGCAAUAACAGGUCUGUGAUGCCCAAG